AGUGAACGCUGGCGGUAGGCCUAACACAUGCAAGUCGAACGGCAGCACAGUAAGAGCAUGCUCUUACGGGUGGCGGGUGGCGGACGGGUGAGGAGUACAUCGGAAUCUACUUUUUCGUGGGGGAUAACGUAGGGAAACUUACGCUAAUACCGCAUACGACCUACGGGUGAAAGCAGGGGAUCUUCGGACCUUGCGCGAUUGAAUGAGCCGAUGUCGGAUUAGCUAGUUGGCGGGGUAAAGGCCCACCAAGGCGACGAUCCGUAGCUGGUCUGAGAGGAUGAUCAGCCACACUGGAACUGAGACACGGUCCAGACUCCUACGGGAGGCAGCAGUGGGGAAUAUUGGACAAUGGGCGCAAGCCUGAUCCAGCCAUACCGCGUGGGUGAAGAAGGCCUUCGGGUUGUAAAGCCCUUUUGUUGGGAAAGAAAAGCAGCAGGUUAAUACCCCGCUGUUCUGACGGUACCCAAAGAAUAAGCACCGGCUAACUUCGUG
rnacentral:rRNA from 1 species